rnacentral:rRNA from 1 species
GCUCCAUGAUUCAGCGGCGGACGGGUGAGUAAUGCCUAGGAAUCUGCCUGGUAGUGGGGGACAACGUUUCGAAAGGAACGCUAAUACCGCAUACGUCCUACGGGAGAAAGUGGGGGAUCUUCGGACCUCACGCUAUCAGAUGAGCCUAGGUCGGAUUAGCUAGUUGGUGAGGUAAAGGCUCACCAAGGCGACGAUCCGUAACUGGUCUGAGAGGAUGAUCAGUCACACUGGAACUGAGACACGGUCCAGACUCCUACGGGAGGCAGCAGUGGGGAAUAUUGGACAAUGGGCGAAAGCCUGAUCCAGCCAUGCCGCGUGUGUGAAGAAGGUCUUCGGAUUGUAAAGCACUUUAAGUUGGGAGGAAGGGCAGUAAGUUAAUACCUUGCUGUUUUGACGUUACCGACAGAAUAAGCACCGGCUAACUUCGUGCCAGCAGCCGCGGUAAUACGAAGGGUGCAAGCGUUAAUCGGAAUUACUGGGCGUAAAGCGCGCGUAGGUGGUUCGUUAAGUUGGAUGUGAAAGCCCCGGGCUCAACCUGGGAACUGCAUCCAAAACUGGCGAGCUAGAGUAUGGCAGAGGGUGGUGGAAUUUCCUGUGUAG